rnacentral:rRNA from 1 species
AUUGAACGCUGGCGGCAGGCUUAACACAUGCAAGUCGAGCGGGGAGAUGUAACUUGCUACAUAUCCUAGCGGCGGACGGGUGAGUAAUUCUUAGGAAUCUGCCUAUUAGUGGUGGACAACAUUCCGAAAGGAAUGCUAAUACCGCAUACGCCCUACCGGGCAACCAGGGGAUUCUCGGACCCUUCGCCACUUGAUUAGCCUAAGUCGGCGUAGCUAGGUGGGGGGGUAAACGCCUUCCAAGGCGACGAACUCGACCGGGCGUGUGAGGAUUGACCGGCACACUGGGAAUGAGAAACGGGCCAGACUCCCACGGGGGGGAGCAGGGGGGAAUUUUGGACAAUGGGGGCAAGGCUGAACCAGCCAAGACGGGGGGGGGAAGAAGGGCUUCUGGUUGUAAAGCACUUUAUGCGAGGAGGAAAAAGCUUUAGUUAAUACCUAAAGAGUGUUGACGUUACCCGAAGAAUAAGCACCGGCUAACUCUGUG